UGGCACAGUCUAUGGUGGGUGAAGAAAAGUUUUCGUGAAUGGAUGGUAGAGAUUGAUGUGAAACGGGAUCCAACAACUGCUGUUCAUUAUCGGUUGAAAAGAGAAAAUUUUUUAUGCGAUCUGAUGGUCAAAAUUCAAUCCAUCGCUCAAUCCGACGGCUGGUAUUCAUCCUGACUGAGAAUAGGAAGAGUUUUGCACAAUCCAAUGGCUA
rnacentral:lncRNA from 1 species